AGAGGAGUAUUAUUUAAUGUGUCACUACAAGAUGCCUAGUUAUACAAAACGACGGAAAUUUACAGAAUAAUAAUACAUAAAAUAGCCUAAAUACAAUCAGCAAAAGAAACAAAGAAGAAAGGCUAAAUUAAAACUUCAAAGUUCCAUUCUUCAUAUGUAAUCAUGCUUUCACAUUUCAGUUUACAAUAUCGACAAGGUUACAACCAUAUACCAAGUAUUGGAAACAAGAGAAGAGGAACGUGAGAAAUCAGCAAGGCAGUAAUCAACACAGCAAAACAGCAACAGCAGUAGCUAAACCCAGCUACAAAUUUCAACAAAAACCCAGUAAAAUCAAACUAGAAAAUACCAACAGAAAUGGACUUCAACCCACAACAAUAUCAACACUAGCCAAAUGAACUCAAAGACACACUAGAGUUACAUAAGAUCAGUCUUAGUGUAUUUGAAUCAAAAGAAAUAAAAUCAAUGAAACAAAAAGAGAAUCUUCAAAUAAACAGUGGUGUUUUCAGCUCUCUAAUUUUUUCGACUCUCCAUUCUUUUCUUAUUCUCUGUUUGAAAUGAAAUCAAUGAAGCAAAAAGAGAAGAUUCAAAUAAACAGUGGGGUUUUCAGCUCUCUAAUUUUUUCAACUCUCAAUUCUUUUUCAUUCUCUAUUUUUUCCUCUCUUAACUUCUGAAAUUUUUAUCUCUUAAAAUUCAUCCUUCUCUAAGUGUCAAAUGACUCCUAUUUUUAUAUACAAAGGCCGUCCCUUUUUCAGUCCAUUCCCUUUUACUUUUAAAUUAUUAUUACUAACCCUUUUACCUCUUUUACUUUCCAGCCCAACAUUCUUCUACUAUGUGACUUUUUAACUUUUUCAAUGGUCAAAGACAAUAUUUUAUUAUUAACCCCUCUUUUUACUUUACACCAUUAUGUCUUGUCCUCCCACUUCUAUUAAACAAUUCUUUAUUUUAAUAUUACAUUAGUACUACAUGGACAAAAUAUUUAAACUUAUAAUUUUUCACACUUUUUAAAUUCCAAAAUACCCCUGAAACUUCCGAUAUUACUAUUCUACCCCCAUAUCUUUUCAACCUGUAACGAAACUAAUUCCUAAUUAAUCAGCAAAUUAUUACAGCUAUAACCAAACUUCUAAUCAAAUGACUAAUUAAACACAUGAACUGACUCCUAACAAGCACAUCAAGGCUAAAUUCAAUAAAGAACACCAUUAAGGUCAAUUCAUUAAAAUUGGUUCAAGCUUGUUCUCAAAUUAGCCCAAAUUCCAUAAGAACAAAGAUGAAGGAUUCAUGAAUCAAUUAGCACAAUUUCAAAUUAAACCUACACAAAGUGUAGGAUCACUGAAAGUAUAUUGACAAUGAGCCCUGAAGCUAAGUGUAUAAGGAUCAACACAUAAAACGCUCAGACAUCAAAUACAAACAACAACAUGACCUCAAGAUAAAUGCCAUGUGAUAAAAUUGGUCAUAGAUUUGAAUACUCAAUGCUAAACUAAGAACAGAUUCAAACAAUUCAUAUUUCUUCAAGUUUCAAGAGAUUCUGUCGGAGAACUUCAAUAUACACACAAUCAAUCUACAAGAGAAACUAAUCAAAUUAUCCUUGUCAGAGGAAGAACAAACAUACACAAUUUGAACCAGAAUUACCACAAAAUCCAAUUAAUCUACGAACUUAAGGCUUUGAAUUAACUAAAUUGACAUGUGAACACCUAAAAACAGAAGUAAAGAUGAAGAAUUAGAUUGAGCUCAACCAAACCCAAAAACAAACUAACAGCAGAAAUAAAACCAGAUUGACUAACCGACGACGACAAAUUCAGACGGCAACAGGGCUCAAAUAAUGUUGGACAAUCUAUAGCGAGCAGCGACUUGUUUCUCCUUACGUUUCUAUGCCUUUCGGAUCUUCUUCUUCAGUUCCUCGUUGUCAUUGUGAACGAGACUGGGCCGUUCCUCGUUAUGGUUGUUGUGUGGCCGUUGCUGGUGGUUCAUGGCUGGAACUAGCGGAGGGGUCGUUUGGAGCUUGACGCUGUUUGUGUUUGUGGACUGAAGGUUUGGAGGUUGGUUGACAAUGGCAGUACGGGUUUUUGAGGACGGGCAAUGGACUAGUCGUUGGUUUUCCGGCGUGGCUAGGCUGCGAGUUGGUUGAGGGAUGAUAGGCUGUGGAGGUUCGACUGGCUGAAGGUGAAGGCUGGUUCGUUCAGGGUCGUGGUGGACGUAGGAACGGAGAUGGUGGUGUGAGGUUCAGGCGGUCAUGGUGUUGGAUGAAGGCUGUUUGGAACGGUGGCUGGUUGACGAAGAAGGGGGAGGACAGCAAUGGCAUGCUGGAGCUCACGACUGAAGGGGUGGUUUGGAGAAGAUGAAGAGAGGGGUUGGGUGUUAAGGUGUGACGGCGUGUGUUUAGGGUUUGGUUAUUUGAUUAAGUGAAAAAAAAUCUGAAAAAUCAAAAGGGAGGGUGUGGAAAUGGACCGGGUCAAGGAGCUUUGGGCCUAAAUUUAUAAUUGAAAAAAAGGUCCAAUUCCG
rnacentral:lncRNA from 1 species